rnacentral:rRNA from 1 species
CCACGUUUGACAUCCUGUGUUACCUGGAGAGAUCCAGGGUCCCUUCGGGGCGCAGAGACAGGUGCUGCAUGGCUGUCGUCAGCUCGUGUCGUGAGAUGUUGGGUUAAGUCCCGCAACGAGCGCAACCCUCGCUUCUAGUUGCCAGCAUUUAGUUGGGCACUCUAGAGGAACUGCCGGCGCCAAGCCGGAGGAAGGCGGGGAUGACGUCAAGUCCUCAUGGCCCUUACGCGUGGGGCUACACACGUGCUACAAUGGCGGUGACAAAGGGAUAAUCCCUAAAAGCCGUCUCAGUUCGGAUUGUCCUCUGCAACUCGAGGGCAUGAAGUUGGAAUCGCUAGUAAUCGCGGAUCAGCAUGCCGCGGUGAAUACGUUCCC